rnacentral:rRNA from 1 species
CUCUUUCAGAGUCCGAGUUGUAAUUUGCAGAGGGCGCUUUGGCUUUGGCAGCGGUCCAAGUUCCUUGGAACAGGACGUCACAGAGGGUGAGAAUCCCGUACGUGGUCGCUAGCUAUUGCCGUGUAAAGCCCCUUCGACGAGUCGAGUUGUUUGGGAAUGCAGCUCUAAAUGGGAGGUAAAUUUCUUCUAAAGCUAAAUAUUGGCCAGAGACCGAUAGCGCACAAGUAGAGUGAUCGAAAGAUGAAAAGCACUUUGGAAAGAGAGUCAAACAGCACGUGAAAUUGUUGAAAGGGAAGCGCUUGCAGCCAGACUUGCUUGCAGUUGCUCAUCCGGGCUUUUGCCCGGUGCACUCUUCUGCAGGCAGGCCAGCAUCAGUUUGGGCGGUGGGAUAAAGGUCUCUGUCACGUACCUCUCUUCGGGGAGGCCUUAUAGGGGAGACGACAUACCACCAGCCUAGACUGAGGUCCGCGCAUCUGCUAGGAUGCUGGCGUAAUGGCUGUAAGCGGCCCGUCUUGAAACACGGACCAAGGAGUCUAACAUCUAUGCGAGUGUUUGGGUGUCAAGCCCGAGCGCGUAAUGAAAGUGAACGGAGGUGGGAACCCGCAAGGGUGCACCAUCGACCGAUCCUGAAGUUUACGGAAGGAUUUGAGUAAGAGCAUGGCUGUUGGGACCCGAAAGAUGGUGAACUAUGCUUGAAUAGGGUGAAGCCAGAGGAAACUCUGGUGGAGGCUCGCAGCGGUUCUGACGUGCAAAUCGAUCGUCAAAUUUGGGCAUAGGGGCGAAAGACUAAUCGAACUAUCUAGUAGCUGGUUCCUGCCGAAGUUUCCCUCAGGAUAGCAGUAACGUAUUCAGUUUUAUGAGGUAAAGCGAAUGAUUAGAGGCAUGGGGGUUGAAACAACCUUCACCUAUUCUCAAACUUUAAAUAUGUAAGAAGCCCUUUGUUACUUAAUUGAACGCGGGCAUUUGAAUGAAACGUUAUUAGUGGGCCAUUUUUGGUAAGCAGAACUGGCGAUGCGGGAUGAACCGAACGAGGGGUUACGGUGCCGGAGUACACGCUCAUCAGACACCACAAAAGGUGUUGGUUCAUCUAGACAGCAGGACGGUGGCCAUGGAAGUCGGAAUCCGCUAAGGAGUGUGUAACAACUCACCUGCCGAAUGAACUAGCCCUGAAAAUGGAUGGCGCUCAAGCGUGUCACCUAUACCCCUCCGCCGGGGCAAAAUUUACGCCCCGGCGAGUAGGCAGGCGUGGAGGCUCGUGACGAAGCCUUGGGGGUGACCCCAGGUCGAACGGCCUCUAGUGCAGA